rnacentral:rRNA from 1 species
GCGAGGUAACGGCUCACCGAGGCAACGACGGGUAGCUGGUCUGAGAGGAUGGCCAGCCACAUUGGGACUGAGAUACGGCCCAGACUCCUACGGGAGGCAGCAGUAGGGAAUCUUGCGCAAUGGGCGAAAGCCUGACGCAGCAACGCCGCGUGCGGGAUGAAGGCCUUCGGGUUGUAAACCGCUUUCAGAAGGAACGAAAAUGACGGUACUUUCAGAAGAAGGUGCGGCCAACUACGUGCCAGCAGCCGCGGUGACACGUAGGCACCAAGCGUUGUCCGGAUUUAUUGGGCGUAAAGAGCUCGUAGGCGGUUUUGUAAGUCGGGAGUUAAAACAUCAGGCUUAACCUGGUGUCGCUUCCGAUACUGCAAUGACUUGAGUGUGGCAGGGGAAGACAGAAUUCCACGUGUAGCGGUGAAAUGCGCAGAUAUGUGGAGGAAUACCGAUGGCGAAGGCAGUCUUCUGGGCCAAUACUGACGCUGAGGAGCGAAAGCGUGGGGAGCGAACAGGAUUAGAUACCCUGGUAGUCCACGCCGUAAACGGUGGGUACUGGGUGUGGGGAGUAACCAACACUUUCCGCGCCGUCGCUAACGCAUUAAGUA